CCUACGGGAGGCAGCAGUGGGGAAUUUUGGACAAUGGGCGCAAGCCUGAUCCAGCAAUGCCGCGUGAGUGAAGAAGGCCUUCGGGUUGUAAAGCUCUUUUGUCAGGGAAGAAACGGGUCUUUCUAAUACAGAGGCCUAAUGACGGUACCUGAAGAAUAAGCACCGGCUAACUACGUGCCAGCAGCCGCGGUAAUACGUAGGGUGCAAGCGUUAAUCGGAAUUACUGGGCGUAAAGCGUGCGCAGGCGGUUUUGUAAGUUUGUCGUGAAAUCCCCGGGCUCAACCUGGGAAUGGCGAUGAAGACUGCAAGGCUAGAGUUUGGCAGAGGGGGGUAGAAUUCCACGUGUAGCAGUGAAAUGCGUAGAUAUGUGGAGGAACACCGAUGGCGAAGGCAGCCCCCUGGGUCAAAACUGACGCUCAUGCACGAAAGCGUGGGGAGCAAACAGGAUUAGAUACCCUGGUAGUCCACGCCCUAAACGAUGUCUACUAGUUGUCGGGUCUUAAUUGACUUGGUAACGCAGCUAACGCGUGAAGUAGACCGCCUGGGGAGUACGGUCGCAAGUAAUUAAAACUCAAAGGAAUUGAACCGGNUGAGCGNGCGAGACGACGACGAGGAGAGG
rnacentral:rRNA from 1 species